UGAAUUUAGGCCUGUCGCGAUAAUCAAUAAAUCGCCUUAUCGCUCGGUAAAUAAAAACGAGGUCGGUCAUUUUGCCAGCCUCGAUAAUUAACGUGCGUUUGUUUUCCUCCUCUCUCGCUACCAAACACGCUGGAUGAGAGAAGAGGUCUCACUCUGCGCAUUGUUCUCGGCACCUGGGGGCGUUGGCUCUAUAGCGGAAUGAACGGAGUUAGUGAACCCUCCUGUCAGUCAUUCAGUAUCUUUGUCACGGGGGGGCGCGCGCACAGGUACACGUAGGCGCGCACAGGCACACAGACACAGACUUUUGGAUACAGUGCUGCAAGUGAGCGUCGUGAGUGAAAAGCAAGCAAACAGAAUGAACACGACAGCUUUGGUGUCUAAACCGAACGCAACAGCCCAAGUGUGGGAAUAUUUCGGCUUUAAACCAGUUUUGUUUUCGUCAACCUCCACGUGUGUGUGCGCGCUCGCGCGUUUGUGUGUUUGUGUGUUGGAGGAGCACAGCAGGCUGAUGAGAGCUGUCAGAGCGGACUGAAGCUGCUCCUAUAUGUUUAGCGUUUAACUGACUGAGUUUUGCAACUCUGUUCGUCAUUUUCGUCUCGUCCCAUCAACGUAAACGCACUUUCGUCUCGUCACAUUUUAGUCAUCUCCGACUUAAGUUUAGCUCGUCAACGUUACGUCUUCGUCGUGGGUGAAAUUAAAGUUUAUCACUUUUGACAGGGUGUACUCGCAUUAUUAUGCCAUUUAAUAUCAUUAUCUAUAAUUUAAAAAACGGUGUCAAUAAUAUCGUUUAUCGGCAAUAAUUUGUAGCACAAUUAUCGUCCAGCAAAAUUUGUUAUCGUGACAGGCC